GGACUGCGGAAGGAUCAUUAUCGUAUAACUGAGGCACGAGGGCUGUCGCUGACUUUUUUGUCGUGCACGCCCAAGUGCUCUCAAACAAUCCCUUUCACCCCAUGUGCACCACCGCGUGGGUCUCCUUUUGGGCUUGUCCCGAGGGAGRCUUGCGUUUUCACACAAACUUGAUGCAGUGUAGAAUGUCUUUUUGCGAUAACACGCAAUUUAAUACAACUUUCAACAACGGAUCUCUUGGCUCUCGCAUCGAUGAAGAACGCAGCGAAAUGCGAUACGUAAUGUGAAUUGCAGAAUUCAGUGAAUCAUCGAAUCUUUGAACGCACCUUGCGCCCCUUGGCAUUCCGAGGGGCACACCCGUUUGAGUGUCGUGAAAUUCUCAAAAACCUUUCUUUUGAAAGGGCUUUGGAUUUGGAGGCUUUUGCUGGCUUUGCCUUGAAGUGAGCUCCUCUUAAACGAAUUAGUGGGGUCUGCUUUGCCGAUCCUUGACGUGAUAAGAUGUUUCUACGUCUUGGGUUUGGUGAUGCACCUGCUUCUAACCGUCUCAUGGACAAUGAUGGUGUUUCGGUCACCGCCGUUUCAUUGCGGUCGGGAGGCUUGGCCCACCAAAA
rnacentral:rRNA from 1 species